UGCCAUUUCAAAUAGAAAAGCCUCUGUAGGAUUUCUUCUGAUUCAGCAGCAGCCUGCUUAGCAUUAAGGAAGGGCAAGCCAGACUCCAGAGCUGGGUAAUUAUGGCUGAGCUCUUGGAUAUUCUCUUCAGGAGAUAACAAGGUCGGUUCUUCCCAUAUUACAAGAUGCCAGGAGGAGCUUGUGUCUGGCUGCAUUCUGCAUUUUGAAAGCGGCUCAGCUUGGAACGCUUUUGAAGCAUCAAGUUAAAGAACUAUUGCAGGAAUAUACCAGGAAAGCCAGGAAAAUCCACAGACCCUUUGAAGGAACUGGAUCACCACCGCAGGUUCCCUGAGACACUAAAAAACUGUGAGUCAGAUUUCUUUCUCAACAGGGAGGCUCAUGGUCUGGUCCAAGUUCUCAG
rnacentral:lncRNA from 1 species